CAUAAACAUACGGACGGAAAACGUUGACAAACUAUCCCAUCAUGCAAUGUAUUAUUAGUGCAACGUAUCACUUCCGUACUCUCUCUCUCUCUCUUUGCUUGUUGGUGUCGCCGAUUGCUGUCCAAUUUGGCAUUUCCUUCAGUUACUUGACGGUUCUUGACUUGUAUAGGUUUCUAUCAAACACAUCACCUUACAAAUAU